AACAGUAGAGGUGCGGUAUUUAAGAGUAGAACGGACAAUCUGCGGACAUGGCAGCCGUUUGAAAGGAACUACCGCCGAAAUAUACAGCCGGCUGUUCAAGGCUGUAUGUUGGGUUGCAGGAGAAUAUCUUGCAGACUGUCACUUUUGUGAAGCGCUAUCUGU
rnacentral:ncRNA from 1 species